rnacentral:rRNA from 1 species
AGCGAACGCUGGCGGCAGGCCUAACACAUGCAAGUCGAACGAUCCUUCGGGAUAGUGGCGGACGGGUGAGUAACACGUGGGAACGUGCCCUUUGGUUCGGAACAACUCAGGGAAACUUGAGCUAAUACCGAAUGUGCCCUUCGGGGGAAAGAUUUAUCGCCAUCGGAGCGGCCCGCGUCUGAUUAGCUAGUUGGUGAGGUAAUGGCUCACCAAGGCGACGAUCAGUAGCUGGUCUGAGAGGAUGAUCAGCCACACUGGGACUGAGACACGGCCCAGACUCCUACGGGAGGCAGCAGUGGGGAAUCUUGCGCAAUGGGCGAAAGCCUGACGCAGCCAUGCCGCGUGAAUGAUGAAGGUCUUAGGAUUGUAAAAUUCUUUCACCGGGGACGAUAAUGACGGUACCCGGAGAAGAAGCUCCGGCUAACUUCGUGCCAGCCGCCGCCGUAA